UUUCUAUAGCAGUUGACGUAAUAUUUGGUUUUCUGGAAAUAAAUAUUGUUACACGAGCACUUAAAAAAAUGUAUUUCUUCCAAAACCAUCAAGCAAAAUUUUCAACACAACAUUUUGACGUGACAACGUCUAAUAAAUCGAUGAACGCUGGCUGCACGCAGCGUGUAAAUAUUUCGAGUCCAACAGAGAAUUUCUAGUUAAAAGAAAUUCAAUUAAAUAUCGUGCGUGGAAAAUUAUUAAUUUAUACCAUCUGAAACAUUUAUUUUCAAUAUGGUCGCGUGGUCGUUUGGUUAGCGUGGAUGACCUUUCAAUCCAAAUGUUAUCGGUUCGAAUCUCGGCAGUUGCGAAUUUUUUUUGUACUUGUAAAAAUAAAUACAGCGCACGCAACAUUUCAAAAGUACUAAAUAUAUUUGAAUUAAUAAAUUCAAAUAAAAGUAAAUUUAUUAAUUAAAUUGUACAUUUAAUUUCACUCCUUUAUAUCCAUACAAAAUAGUGAUAAUUCAAUAAAAUUGAUUCAAUUUUAUUCAUAAAAGUAUGCAGAGGUAGAUUUUAUCAUACAAAAGAUAGAAAAAUUAAAAAAAAAUUUCUUCCUCAAAGAAUAUAAUAUUUUUAAUGUCUAAAUGGUUUGGUUGCAAAAACCUAUUACGGCUCAGUCACAGGCCGAAUAUAUUUCCUUUUCUUCUGGAUCAAUCAUUUCAUCAAUGUUUUGUUAUGACGUUGUCACGUUUAACUAUCGUCCGUAAACUGACUUUACAGACAAACAAUUUUUUUCUAGGAAAUGGAGAAACGUUUAGAUGAAUGUUGCUUCUGAAGAUGUUAAAAAAAUGUACAUUUUACAUAGCUGCAGUAGAACUGCCAAAAUUGUGCGUGCUUGGUUUUGAUGCAGCUUGCAUUUUGAAGAUCUUUCGACUGCACUGCGAGUGAUUUUUCUUACCCGUAGGACACUUAUGUUUGCAUUUGGUGACGCUGUAGAUUUUUGUGGAUAAAUGUUCUGUGUUGACAACCACGGAGUUCAAAGGAUAAGCCUAGGUUAGGGGGGAUAACCGAGGCACAAAGGUCGUAUUCAUAAAUUUAUCACAAUAAUUAUUAAACAUUCACAAAGCUAAGGAUAAUAUUCAAGUGUUUUUUCACUAUCUUCUUAUGCUCCUAGAUUAGAUUCCGCCAUGUUUGUAAAACAAGGCUGUGGUUAAGAUUAGCCUUCUUGUUCAAUAAAUAUUCCCGAUUCACAACAAACAUACUAAACUCUGUUUACAUGCUGUUACAAUACUUUUUGAAAGAAAAAACAAUUUUUACGUUAAAAUAUGGUAAUCGUCAUAUUUACUGAGCACCACGAGCCAAUGAUUAUAAUAUUAAAUAGUUCAUUAAAAACUAAAGUUGCACUAAAUACGUUUAGAAACAGUCUCCAGUUAAUUUAAAUUUUACUUACGUAAUCCAAGGGGAAUGAAGGAGUUCUGCAACCACCGCCGAGUGACGAUGCGCUGUUACCGACGCAGCUACUCGCCUGGUCUCGCGCCGGGUUGUGUCGGCCUCCCAGGGACGCACACAGCGCCUCGUUGACUCGCCCGUCGCUCGCCCGCCUCUACGGACCGGAGCUCAGGGAGCAGUGCCGCCUGGUCGGUCGUCGGGACGAUUCUGCAAUGGCCUCGUCUGCUUCCCGGUUGCGGCCAGAUGGUACUUGACCCAGCUAUAGUGAGCAGCCGUUGUUACUACUGGAUUCAAAUCAGCAAAACACCCUCCCCCCCUUCCCGUUUUCGUGGUGAUUCUCUUUGGAGUCGUGUCACCACAGCAGGCUGGGGUACCUUUACUCGCCCAGCGAGUAGUCACUCGCUGGAGGAGGACUCAAACCCGGACCCUCACCUCAUUUAUGGCGUUUCGGUUCACUCGUCUUGCAGCCGUCGACUCUGGCGAGCGAGUGGCUGCACGUCGCUGGCCGACUCGAACCCGUUACUCUCGUCGUUGGUGUGGACCGGCCUUUCCUGAAGGAAGCUGGGCGUUACUCGCUUUCGGUCAUCGACUCGCCCAGGGAGUUGCUUGCUUGCUACUCGUUUGUGGAGGACUCGAACCCCUGACCCACGGCCGACAUCGCAUGUUGACAGCCAUGCUCACCAGCGCCGUGUCGCCCUUUUCUAUGGCGGCGUCGGACUCGUCAUGGCUGGCUUUUUGUGGCGUCGAUCUUCGGUGUACGUCUCUUGGUGACUUCCAUUGUACUGAGUGUCUGGUCGCUCGCUCGGCGACCAUAUACAAUUGCUGAGACCAACAAAGAGAACCUUCUACUACAGACCCGGAAACUAUAACAUUCUCGUAUCCCGAGUACGUUUUCGUUACGUCACACGACCUCGCGGGAUAAUUUACUGACCUACAGUCUAGUAAGUCGCUUCUGACGCGGGUGGAGACGUAAUGGGCCGAAGUAUGCGAAACACUAAAAUUUUCCAACAAGUUAUGCUUUCUCAGAAACCAGCAUAUUGGUUAUUUUUUUGGAACGAAAGCUAAAUACUAGGUAGAUACUGUACACAUUUACAGCUAAAGCAUAUAAAGCUUGUGUUUUCAUCCUCCAGUGCAUUUAAAUAUAAUGGCAGCUGGCGGUGCAUCAGAAAAAUUCCCCCGCUCACAUUUAUAAUGAUUGCAUUAAACUGUAACGUAAGCCAUACAAUGAAGCAAAUAAAAAAAUUAUGAACGGAAUUUCAAUUAUGUGUUGAGCUGCAUUCAUUACUUAUGCAUACGCAAUUAUCUGACGUAAAUUAACAAUGAAUGUUUACAAACACUCGACGCAUCACACAGCUAAACCAGUAAAGGAAACUAUAAAUACAUUAUAAUUUGGUUGGCGCCACAUCUCAUGUUUGACGUCACAGUAGCGUUCUAUGGUUCAUGGCAACCAUUUUCGUUUUUGUUUCGCUGUCUUUGUUAUCCGUUUCAUUCCGUUUACAUAUCGUUCUUUGAUUGUUGUGAAUCCGACGUGUUAUCAUUUUCGUAAAACUUUCACUGUAGACUUGAGUUGAGACCAACUCCGUUUUACUUUAAAAUUACAGCUGUUUGGGAAUUAAGAAAACCUCCGUCAUUUUAACCACUUAAAGAAAAUUACAAAUCAUUGUUUUUUCCCCCGUCUGUAUUAAGUAAAUGAUGUAUUUUACACGUGCAGCUGAUCCUCGUUUUAUAAGUGUGAGAACAUUACUGUGUAUGCAUUGUAUUGUUUAAUAAGCUUAAUAAUAAUUUACACAGUUAUUCUUAUUAUAACUAUUUAUAGAGUUAUAAAUCACCAUUACUACUAUUAUACCUACCCUAGGUGAAGGGUGGUGAGGGGGAUGUUCACUAGAAAUUCAAGCAUUUUACUAAAAUUAGAACACUUCCUAUAUGUGACGUGUCGGAGCUGUAGCCGGCUCUAGUAACCGAGUGAUUCGCCAGGAUUCCAUAACGGGCGUGCGAUUUCAAUAUAUCGUCACCUGAGAAUUGGAGUGUUCUAAGUCCAUUGAAGUCGGAACUGAGAUAUAAGCAUUUGAAAGUUCAAAUAACUAUGAAUAUCAUGACAUAGAACAAAAUAAUAUUGGCCUUAAAUCAAGAACAAACAUUUUUGUGUUCGUAGACGUGUGUGGAUAUAGUACAAAUGAAUACUAAUAUUAAUUUCGUGUCCAUAGCAUAAAAAACCUAAAAAGUGUACAUAGAACACUCAAAUACUCAGGCGGCGAUAUAGCCUCUCCCGCUUACGACAACCCAUAGCCUUCUCGUGGCGCCAGCGUUGAUAUAACUGAUGUGGACAAUGCCGGGGUGCUUAUUCCUCUGACUUCCUCAGUGUGUCGGAACGAGUUUUCUGGUAGGUUAGUAGGAUGUGGACGGGCGACUACGCCCAAGGACGAUUCGAAAACCUAUCGGGGGGUUUUGGACAACCAAACCCUAGGUGGUGUCUCAAAGGCAUCGGGCUCACUGUGAAGAACCCGGGAUGCGUAUGGAAUAGCGAAGGGCUGUUGCUAGGGGUGGGGUCGUCCUGGUCUGGCCAACCCAGGCCCUGGAUAGGUUGUAACCUACGGGUGGGGGAUAAUCUGAGGUAAGCAAUCGAGGACGUCCAUGGUCAUUGGGCAAAUCGGGCUCUGGCAAGGCUGUAACAUUCAGUUGAGAGACAAUCUAAGGUAUGCAAUCCGAAGAUUUCCUUGGUCAUGUCGGGGCGGUCUCGCGCUGUUAACUGCUUGGGACAGCACUCUACCUAAUUAUGAAGGGUGCCAAAGGACUGAUCCCUUACUGUGAAAGUUAUCUGCUGAGGUUUCCUGUAAUGGCCCUGAAUAAGUAUUGGUGAUGGACUCGUGGUGAUAAUGGUAGUUCCUAAGCUUGGAGCACACUCAGACGAGUUCCUGCUCCAUUGGCGAGUGGAAGUGGUGAGAUACUUAAUGCUCGGGUACUAGCCUGCAUUACUAGUAGAGGUAGAUGUCCUCGGAGGAUCACGAGCAACUGGGUGACCGAGGGGUCCCAGGGAUGUGAUAGGUGUGGGCCCGUGAUGGUACUGUAGGGAACCCCGGGGGGGGGGCAAGCACCAUCGGUAACCUGGUGUAUACGGUGAAAUGGAAGUUGGUUCGGUUGCUUUGAAGUUGGAAUGGAUCUCCUCAACCUCUCGACGUAGCUGUUCAGUUGGCAGAACUAUAUUGCGAUUGGAAAUGGAUUAUCUAUUUUCCGGUUCUCGGAACCCAUGCCCAAUAUUUGGUUCUCCGAAUUUGGACAUGUAAAAUAUCCAUCCACCUCCUUUUCGGGUAUGCCCUCGCGGUAUAAGGAACCGAGGGAGUAGAUGAGCAGGCUGGUAGGUCUUGAUAGAUCUGAUGAUUCUAGAUGUAUUCUUCUUGAACCAUAAAUUCUAUCGCCUUUGAAUUUUUUGUAUAUUUUUUAAAACUGAUACUGCACCUUUUAAUUCCUAAGAUUUGAGAAAAGGGAACUUGCCUUAGGAUUUUUGUCGCAUUGCCUUGCGCUCUUGGCGGUAAAUAAUAAUUUUAUCUUUACUGCUUUCUUGUUUGUUAUCAAACUCAGCUUGAAAGACAACUGUAAAGCCAUAUAGUACACUGUUAGAAAUUACAGUAAAUUUACGGACAUUCCAACGAAGAAACACCCGUAAAUAAACUGAACGCUCUUCGUAUUUCUGUAAAACGGAAUCUCCGUAAAAUUACGGUGGUAUUAGAGAGAGAGAGAUAGCUGUGCUAUCGCCCCCCUCUCUCAUUCACCGUUUAGUACCCUCUACGCAUGCGCGUAAUUUACUUCGGCGUACUUCGGCCUACUUCGUGAACUAUCAUUUGUUUUUUUCCCCAUGCAUUCCGUGUUACCGUGUUUUGUUGCUGUUUCUUAAUUCGCAUAUAUAUGGAAUUGUUCAAGAGAUAUUCCUAGUGAUUUUAUAUUAAUUAUUGUUGAAAUUAAGUUUACUGCUUUUAAGAUUGAUAAAAUACCUGCUACAUGUAAUGAAAAAAUAGCUUAGUCUGGAAGUUGACCGUGGUCAGCCAUGUGUGGAAGAAGAAAGCAAGCAAUUUUUCGAAGUUUUAUACAAUCGGAAGAAUUUUGUGAGUCCAUGCGCAAGGGCCAUCUCCCUAAUUCUCGGAAGUUUAUCUUGUUUGUGGACAAGAAAAUGUCCCUAGAAACAUCAGACGUAGUCCAUUAUGAAGAUUAAUCCUACUGUAUAAAAAAAGCAUCAAGGAAACCCCAGAGUUGGAACUUUGAAGAAAGUGACAGAUACAAUUACUAAAAUUGUUGAAUUGUCAAAGCUGUUGGAUGAUUUGUACAUGCAGAUUUGUGUGGUGUUUCAAGAUUAUUUUUUUUUUUAAUUAUUGUGAUUAAACAAUUCUAAUAUGAAUAUUUUACAUUUAUAUUUAUUUAAAAUGUUGGCUUAUAUUAACAAUGCAUUUUGUAAAUAAAUAUUUAUAAAGGUAUAGCUCAUUUAUUUAUUUUAAUUUUUGAAAAUUUACCAGCACAUAAACAAAGGAACUAUGUGCUACGAUUAUGGUUCUUAUGUCUUACAAUGGCAUAUUCUGUACGUUAAUCAACUAGCAGUGCUGCUAAAUAUUAUGUUUUUUUGUUGUUUAAUGUUUCAAUUUUGUAACAGAAACUAUGUCUCCUAAGCAAAACUUAUUGUGGGAAUUUUUAGCAAAAAUUUUCGGGAUUUACAUAUCAUUAUAAGCUCUAUUGGUGUGUUUUUGCACUAAAAUAAUAAUAAAUACAGUAAAUGGAUAUUUAUUCAAAACUAGAUGAUUUAAGUACAAUGUAUCUAUACUUUUUAUUACUUCACAAGUUAACAUACUUUUUCAUUGUAGUAUAAACACUGGUCCUACUUCCUACAAAUAUAUAAACUUAAAAAUUUUAAGGUUCAUAUGCUUUUCAAUUGUGCUUUUUACACUUAACCAAUUUGGUUACAGUUUGAUACAUAGGUAGCCCAUAUACUGGAUUAACACAAAUGCUAUAGAGUAACUUAUCAUUAAAAGUAUCCAAAAAAACCCAUACUUUGGUACUUUUUAAUACUGUAUGCCUCAAAGUGUGUUGCUUUGUAAUGAUUUUUCACUAAUAAAAAAUUCCACCCCUCAGGGAGGGGUGAUAAGUAUCAUAAAAAUACCUCACAAUUAGGCUAAAUGAAGCAUAAGGCAAGGUUGAGUAUCCUACUAAUCUUUAAAUUAUGUAAUUUUUUGAGUUUAAAAGUUUAUAACGUAAUGAAGUCUUUGCUACUUACCUGAUUUUGAUAAAAUUUAAAACAGGAUUCGUAUCUUCUAGAUUAUAGUCUAACAAAUAAUGGAGUUAAUGUAAGAAUGUGAGUAAAUAUAAUAUUUUUAACUAUGACAUUUUAUCAUAUUUAGAUAAAGAAUACCAUUUUUUAAUUGGGAAGAAGUCAGGGCUUAGUAUAUUCUAAAUGGCUCCUUCUGACUUCUUAUACAUUCGACAAAAUAAAGAGAUUUUAUGUAACUGGAUUUUCCACACAAAACCCUCAAUAUACACUGUACAUGAUUAAAAUUCCACCUCUAAAUUGGGUUUAUAAUAGAAAAUGGUAGAAAGUAAUUUAUUUGGUGUGAAUUGUAAAAUGGCCAUUAAGUAAAACAUGUAGAGGCUUAGAGUUAUGUUUUUGCUCCAAAAGUAAGCUAUAUAGUUAUUAUAAGCACAAAAAUUAAGAGUGCUAUGUAUUUAAUUGCAUUCUAAAAUAGCAUGACUUUACUGUAAUUAUACUGGUUACAAAUUACCCAGAGAAUUUCAUAAAUUAACAUGUACUACACCAUGGAAAAUAACUUUAUCUUUGUAAAUUUUACAAGUGCUGUAAACAUAAUGGUAAAACAAUAUUUUUAUGCUACGGAGUUUGAGUAAUUUUUACAGAACUUUUGUAAAUUUGAGGAACAAUCUGUAUUUGAAUAUUACGAAGUUAUCGUAUAUUUACUGCAUUGGUUUUGAAAUUUACAAAUAAUCUUUAUUUGAAUUUCACAAUGUACUUGUAUAUUUACAGUAUUAAUUGUAAAAUUUACUAAGAAUACAUUUUUUAGUAUUACGAAGUACCGGUAUAUUUACGGCAUUGGUCGUGAAAUUUACGAAGAAUCCAUAUCUGAGAAUUACAAAGUACUAGUAUAUCUACGGCAUUGGUAGUGAAAUUUACGAAGAAUCCGUAUCUGAGUUUUACGAAGUACUAAUAUAUUUACGGCAUUGGUCGUGAAAUUUACGAAGAAUCCGUAUCUGGGUUUUACGAUGUACUAGUAUAUUUACGGCAUUGGUCGUGAAAUUUACGAAGAAUCCGUAUCUGAGUUUUACGAAGUACUGGUAUAUUUACGGCAUUGGUCGUGAAAUUUACGAAGAAUCCGUAACUGAGUUUUACGAAGUACUAGUAUAUUUACGGCAUUGGUUGUGAAAUUUACGGAGAUUUAGUUUUUUCCCCUAAUGAAGUAACCGUAAAUUUACGAAGACCACCGGAGAAUUUUUUUCCGGUACUUUUCGUAAAUUUACGGUAAAAUUUUUUAACAGUGUAGAGGACCAUAUUUUGUCACAUAAAUGAUCAUGCCAUAUGAGCAGACAUUUAUGACUUUCGACUAGGACCCAAGUAUGUUUUCUUCAGCCAGUUUGAUUUUCACGUACAUACUCUUUUAAGUUUGUGUUUUUGCCAGAUAAUAAAGGUUAUUUUUCAUUACAAAGCACUUAUUCGAAAGUAAGAAAGUAAUCACGUUGUGAGCUCUCAUUGUUUCAAAAUAUAAACGUACGUCGUCAAUAUUAUCAUUCACACUGAAGUAUUUUUAAUUUUAUAUGUGCAAUUGAUAAGAAUAAAAAUUAUAAACCCAUCCGUCACUUAGCAACUGCUUCUUUGACUGAAGUUUGAUGUGCUUCAGUCUUUUAAGAAGUACGUACACUACUAUCCAGGUAAGACUGAAAUUUUAGUUUGGAUAGAGACCUGGAAAAAUUGCGGCUUAGUAAUUUUCAGAAUAGCCUCCACAGUCCUAUGCACACUCUGAGAAAUUCACCUGUUCAUUGGCUCCAGAUUCCUUUCCAUCAACUGUGAACGAAUAGUAUAAAUACAACACAGAGGUAAGUAAAGUGGUCUGAAUUUUAGUCUAUCAAGAAAUGAAUCACCGAAUGAUUCUGGUCUCUAGUAAUUGAAUGAUGCUUCUACCCACUUGUAUAGGAAUGUAAAAAUAAAAAUAUGAAAAAUAAAAAUAUCGUCAUUUUAUUUUUGUGUGUAAUAGUUAGGCAUUUCUAGACUGAAAAUAUUAAUGUUUUAGUUUAGGAUAGUGGAUUACUUUAAUGAUUCUUGCAAAUGGGGAAGAGUGAUAAAAAAAAAUUGUAGGGACAUAACGCCUUUGCCAUAGAAAAAUCCCAAAAAUUUACAAGAAAAAUUACUAUACCAAGACACAGGAAUAUAAGCCAAAAUUAGCCGAACUCUAAUGUUAAUAAUAGACAGAAUUUGACAUCGGCUUGCUUUUGUGUGUGUUAGUUUAUUAUUUUUUCCUAGUCCAUUUUUAGGUUUUCUCUAUGACAUACAGUGAAAACCAGCAAUAGCUUAUGUCCAUACUAAUGUUUUAAAUCAGAAUGACUUUCUGUUGUUUCAAAUAACAUCUAAGAUGUGUAUCGGAAAUGUUGAAACAGUUUAUCCUAUUAAAGUAAAUGUUUACUCAGUUACAUGUUACGUUGUUUCAUUAAGCUUUUAUUUAAUGUAACGUAUGAACGUUUUCACUCUAGAGUCACUGCUAGUACUAUGUUUUGAAAAUGUUCCUUCCAGGUUGUAAAUAUUAAGGUGAAGUUAUACCUUAUCUUAUUCGAGUUUUAAGUUCACUCUUGAUUGUGUUUUUUUUUUUGUAUGGGGGAGGGUAAUGGCUUAACUUUAUUUCGUAUAAUUCCUAUAAAACAGCCAAUAUAUGACAUUAUAAACCGUUUACUACCACCAGACGAACGCCAACAGUUAAAUUAAGUUUUUUUUAACCUUUUUUCUUUUCCAACUUUCACAUCAUAACGGGUGAGAUAAAGACCUAUCCAUAUUUGGACACGUCUGAAGACCCCAGUUUUCAUUAAAGGCUUGAUUAUGUAAUGUUUUUUUGGUUGCCGUGUUCGGAAUGACGCUUCACUUAAGUUUAUGUAAUGUGAAGCCUUUUUUUUUUAGCGUGAGUCUCUCGUAGCAGUUAUCUCUAAAGUGUAAUUAUUACGUGUUAUUGCAUGUUUGGUAACGGUUUAAGACACACCCACUUAUAAUUUGGGCAACUGUUUGGUACCUAGCUAAGUGUAACGAAACUCAAUACGUAAUAUGAAGACUUUUUUCUGUCAUGUUGUACACUUACUUACGACAUUUACAUUAACUUUGCUGUCACGAUGGCAUUUUGUUGAAAAAAAGACUUUUGCUGUGGGUGGUAUUUAUAUGUAGCUUUUUUCGUUCUAUUUGGUGCUGUAGCCAAAAACGUCCAACUGGAUGGUAUAAGGUUAGUUUUUUUUUGUUUGGUUUAACUUCGCACCGUUAUGCGGUACGACCUCUAAGAUUAUAGCGGGCUCCGAACUUAGUACCGACUCAAUUUUCAUAAAUUUGAUUAAUGCCGGUGUGUUGAGAUCGAACCCAAGAACCAUGUUACGUGAGCAAGACGAGCUAGCGAGCACAGAUGAUUGGUUGAAAGUGUUGAUGUUGGUUCCCAGACUGUAUCUUCUUUAUACUUUUACAAAAGAUUCCUUUGAAAAACAAUUGCCAAUAAAUAAAUCGUAAUACUAAAAGGAAAAUAUUGUAAAUUUGUACAACACAGUCUUAUGCUUAUUUUAUCACAACUGAAAUUCGUUUUUGAAAACAAUACUAAAUAUUUCUUGUUGCGCUUACGAAAAUUGGUACAUUAUUUAAAUUUUGUUUAACAUUUGUACAAGCAUUAAUUUUUAAACUAUGAAAAAAUAUGAUUGAAUAUUUAAAAAUUUUCACUUAAUUUUUUUAUUGCCCUUAUAAUUAUGUGCGCAGUUUGUACUAUAAAAGCUAUUAAUGAAACGGUUUACAAAUAACUUAAAUAAAUGUUGUACUGGGAAAAAAACAAAGCAUAUAUUCCCGGGCAAGAAACCGACCCAGUGUCAUUGCGAACAUUUUUUUUAGCGGUACAAUUGCUAUCAUGUAAAUGUACACAUUUACAAAUACCUGUAAUUUUACAUGAUUAUUUUAGUUCCAUUUACAAACAAAACGUACAAUGUUAGUGAUGUUUAAAGUGUAUGGAGUAUAUAUUUCCCGUGCUCAGGAUAAAAUGUCUGUGUUUGUGUGCCCUUGAGCUUUGAUACUUGGAAUGGUAACAAAAUAAAAAAAUAUAUAUCUGCACUCUCUUUUGUAUACAUAGGGAAUCGUUGCUUCUGUAUCCACGACGUGUCCUUUGGACCGCAAACGAGCGAGAGACAUCCUUAAAAGUGAUUAAAAUAAUAUGCCGGGGAAGUCAGUAAUAUUUCCUAAUUAAUUGGUGUCGUGGGCUAGUGUUCUGGAGGUUUGAUAGCUAAGGGUGAGGUUGCGUGCGUGCCUGUAGUACAGAUAAUUUCAACACGCUGACUGGCUUAGUAGGUGCGUAGCGGCUUGUGGAAUUCUGUGUCAGGCAUGUUUACUGAAGCCCUAGUUAGUUUCCGGGGAAAACCCCCUCAUCACCCGAUGUUAUUGCAAUUCCCGUGGUCCAAAUACCUUAGUAAAGGCCUGAAUAAUUCACUUUUCCAAUGGCCUUCAGGAUAGAAACCACAGUCCUCUGCACUCUCUGAGAAACAUCACCUGUUUACUUGGCGAGAAGUCUUAACUUGGUGGUCUGUGAUUUGAUAAUUCCUUGGUUGAAAGAUCCUCAUUUGUCCAGAGUCCUUCCCAUGAACUGUUAACCAACAGAAAAUACAACACAGAGGUAUAUUUGUUUGAAUUUUAACUUAUCACGAUACAUAGGUAAACUCAGUGGCUGAGGUAUUCCGGGAAUUUCUGAUUAUUUCUAUGUGCAGUUUUCAAUUAUAUUUUAAGUACAUUUUAGUAUGCAAUCACCUUCUUUAAAAUUUCCAAGCAAAAAUUGGAACCUUAAAUUAAAUUAUAAUAACAAAUGUUGAUAUUUUGAAAAUACCACCCUUAGAAGGGGAGUGGAGACGGGAUCGCAUACACUAGGUAACGUCUAGUGUUCGUACGAGCGUUAAUAGUGCGGGAAGUAACUCCUGUUAGGCCUUAGCGUAGCUAAUGUUUAAUUGACCUAUUUUCACAUCCAGAGGCGUAAAUCUGUGGGAUUCAC